ensembl:processed_transcript
ACUGCUGGAAGGGCCGCUGAGGAUGCAGGAUGCAAGGCCCCACUUCACCCUGGCACAGACAACCGGAGGUGCAGGUGGCCUCUGGAUGAUGCUUCAUGCAAACCUAUGAGAAAUCUGCAGCCGGGCCAUGAUCAUAGAGGAGGCUGUUCGUGCAGAGAGCCUACAAAUGGGGUUCCAGUUCCACAGAACCUUCUGGAAGGGGGAAGAACCAAUGCCUACUUGGCCAUGCCUAGCCUAACACUUCCAUGGAAGCCUUCGCUAACUAAGUGUCCGCCGGUUAUGAAGUGACAGCAGCUGCCUCAAGUCUGGGGUGGCACCAGAAACUACUAAAAAUACCAAGACAGAAUCCAGUGGCCUGUGGUGGCUCCUGGACUACAGGAGGAAGAUGGCAGGCCUCUGCCAGCCAUGCCCUGCAGCUGGGUCUACCUGCCUGCUUGCCUCCACAUGCCUCUGUUACCUCAGCUGGUGCUAUUAGCCUCCAGGCCAGCUGUCUGUCCUACUGGGGGUGGGGGUGGGGGACACAGGCCUGCCAUGGGGUUUACUGGGGCAGUACAAAUGUUGUGUAGGGUCCCUGGCUGCUAGGGGAGUGUGGGCCCUUCCAUCCCACUGCCUGCAGCAGGAUCGGGAGUAAUUAGAGACUAUUAGAGGAAAUUAGGCCUCACCUCCAGAUGUAACUUAAUGGCCUACCCCACCCUCUCCUAAUACCUUGGGUCCCACCCCCUCCACAUCUGGACCAACAGCCUUCAGGUUCAGGGGCCCUAAACACCCAGCCACGAGUCCCAGGCUUCCAGGUUCCCCACCCCAAGAUGGGCAAGCUCUCUGCUUUCCUGGUCCAACCUUCCUGCCCACCCCCACCCACGCUUGCAGACUUACGACGGGCUCCCUAUGGCCCGCGGCAUCUUCCAACAGGAAGCACCAGGGCUCAUAAUUAAAGGCUGCUCCGGCAGGUAACGAGCAUCCUGCAGAGGUCGGACUGGAUGGAGUUGAGCAUUAGAGGGGCUUUUGUGCCUGCUCGCUUUCAAGGACUGAGUUUUCCUGCCCUUGCUUGCCUCUGUUGAACUGAACGGUGCCAGAGGGCCAUGGCCUGAGGUCCUUUGGGAAGAAGGACGCCCCAAAUCUUCCUUUACAUCUUACGCAAUCCAGGAGUCAUAUGAAACCACGGUGCUCUUGCCCCAGGGUCCUGGAAUGGAAAUGGGCUGACCGGCUGGCUGCUUCAAUAGCAUCGCUCAGACCCCGCCCAACUGAGGGCUCUUGGCCUCAUCUGCCUGUCAGCUGCCUAAUGGUUACGAUUUGUUCUGCCUUCCUGGAAGCCCUACACAGAAGUCCCUUGUGGGAGCCACAAGUGUAGGAACUAAACAAGCCAGUGAACCUCUGGACAGAAGGCAGAAACAUCCCGUCUACCUUUCCAUCUAGAAAAUGUGAGCUUCUUUGGGUGUGACUGGCUUCCCCGCUGAGGGGUGUCUAGCAGCCCUUCCAGCUGCUGCCUACUGGGUACCAAAGACACCAGCUCACUGUGGCCAUCAGUGACGCCCAGGAUACGCAUCUGCCCCACUUAGGAACUGCAGAACCAGCUGCCUCAGUAUCCACCUGUCCUCGUACUCACCCACCGGGGACUCACCAUGUCAGGAAAGAAAGCUUCAGCGUAGGCUCCCUUCAGGAAGAAGAGCUGUGGAAUGUCCACGAUGUCGCUCUCAGAGAGGCCUAGCUCCCGCUUUAGCACCUCGCGGUUCCAGUCGAUGCAUUUCUGGGGAAGAGGGAAGCCGUGGGCCAAUGCAGAGGACUCUUAAGUGCGCUGUGCCUGUGUGCAGCCCUGCGCUCCUGUGGGCGCCUCCAAGCCUCACAGUGGCUUUGUGCAAAUGGACUCACAGGUGUCCGAAAUGGGGAAACUGAGACCCAAGGCAGCUCACCUAACUGUGCAGAGCCAGGGAAAAGUUGAAGUUUGGUUCUGAAGGUCCCUGUCACUUGAUUACAAUUUUUUUAAUUAUUAUUUUUAAAAUUU